CUGAUUCAUAAGAUGGAGUCUGCCAAGUGGCCACUCUGUCUCGGAUCCUGGCAAGUAAGUCCUUGUCAGACUGAGAGCAGUGUGCCUGCUUGCUUUCUCACGUUCCACGCCCAGUGA
rnacentral:precursor_RNA from 8 species